rfam:Capsicum annuum cultivar Zunla-1 chromosome 2, whole genome shotgun sequence
UGAUGGCGAUGAGGAUAAUUUUUGAGCAUGCCUUUAAAUCUCUCCCAAGCUUGGUAGAGAUUUUCUCCAUCUUUCUAUCUAAAACUCAUGAUCUUACUCCUUAAUCG